rnacentral:rRNA from 1 species
UACGGGGGGGGUAAGCGUUGUUCGGAAUUACUGGGCGUAAAGGGCUCGUAGGCGGCCAACUAAGUCGGACGUGAAAUCCCUCGGCUUAACCGGGGAACUGCGUCUGAUACUGGAUGGCUUGAGUUUGGGAGAGGGAUGCGGAAUUCCAGGUGUAGCGGUGAAAUGCGUAGAUAUCUGGAGGAACACCGGUGGCGAAGGCGGCAUCCUGGACCAACACUGACGCUGAGGAGCGAAAGCCAGGGGAGCAAACGGG